rnacentral:ncRNA from 1 species
GGAACGCGGUGGGAGUCCGCGACGGUCGCGCCACGGUGACCGGUGCGCGCCCCGACGGGGCGGCGAUCGGAAGUCCGAGCAC